rnacentral:lncRNA from 10 species
GAAUUUAAGAACUUUUGAUAAUACUCCUAUGGGAAAAAGGGAGAAGCUGAUGGAGGCAUUUGCACACUAAAUCCAUUUUAUUACUCCUAGUCACAUCCAAAUCACAGAAUAGGAGAGGCCAGUGAUUCUCUGCAAGCAUCGAGGAGGCCAGUGUUUCAGGAUCCUUUUUACCCAGAUUAUUUCCUGUCUGAAAGGAAGCAGUGAUGAGCUGUAUGGAUUUGAGUUAUUGAAACUUCCUCUUCUUGCAGAAAUUCGACAGGGAAGAAAAGCAAGUCACCAGGGACUGUAUCCUUGAUUAGUGGCUGCGAUCCUGCAACACACUUCAUCCUGCCCAAUCCCCAUCGAUGUUGGCAUUUUCCUACUCAAUUGAUGUCCUCAUAUUUUCCCUGCUCCAUCUACACACCAUAUAUUUCCUCAGGUGCUACAAACAAGUUCCAAACUUUAUUGGACAGGGGAAGAAGUAGAAGAAACAAGAAGUAUUAUUAAAAUGAAUGGAGUUAAAAUGGGACAGAGGUGAGAAGAAGGAGCUAGAAAACUUUAAAUAAAAUGCACCUACAGCUAAGGAAAUAGACAAGCCUUUCUGAUGGCUCUCAUGGCUCUGCGUUUACAUACUACAGAUUCCUCCUGGAUGAAACAGAAGCCGGGCUGCUGAUGCAGCUGGAGGAGGAAGCGAGAGGUUCCAACGGCAUGACUCCUUGGCAUUUCACACAUCCAUAGAAAUAACCCAUCUAUGAUUUCCACAAGACAAUUUUUUCUUAGUCCCCACUUUUCAGUGUAUGCUCAAACACAAUGCAGAAUCCCAAGAAACUGUGAAACUUUUCUGAGAAAAUGUUCUGAUUUGAAUUAGUUAGCUGUAUUCUGCAUUCAGCACAUUUACAAGCUUUGAAAUAUCGGACAUUGGCAAGCAAGCACUAACAUUUUAUAAGUAGCAGUUUGCAUCCAGGUUUGAGGUAAUGUAAUCCAACAUGCACGAGAACACAGUCUAGGUCCCCUUCUCCCUUCUAAGCAUAGCAGAAGGAUUAGGAAUAAUGAAUGGUGUGAAUUUUGCCACCUAGAGGGUUUCAUUUUGAUACCUGUUACACAGUCCUCUUGAGCACUGUGCUCAUUUUUCCUAUUGCUGAGAUAUGGAAAAUAAAACAGUAAUAGGAACGUGCACUGACAACACACCAUGUCAAUGCCCUAAAACGCAAAGUCUUGGAGAGGGUUCCAUAAUGGCUUCAGUAGAAGCAUAGCUCAUUCCCUGCUUUGCUAAUCAAUUUUCUGCAUGCCAUGUUCUCCCCGUUAUACCUCAUCCCUUAGGCUACUCUUGUAGCCCAAGUCAACCACACAGGUGAUAUACACCGGUGGAAUAGGUCAGGGCAAUUUCUUGAGGCACUGGAGGGGGAAAACCUGGGGUCUCUCCUCAGCCCUCCAAUGUGUCCAUAAUGCUCCUCAUGUGCCACAGGCUCCGUGCCACCAUGGAAUUUGAUCUGGAAGUCUAGAGCCCUUUUCAGGGAGUUGUUUAAGCCUUUAGUCCUUGUUUCUUCACUCUUAGUGUAAUUCUGUGUCAUUUUAGAGCCAGAAACACUGUUGUAACAGUCAAAUGUAGUAAUUAAGACUGUAGUAUCAGAUCACUGGCUUUUCAAUCUUUUUCUAAAAGGCUCUAUGAUCUCAGGCAAAUUUACUGAACUCUUCUUGCUGUAAUAUGGGGAGACAGUGGCCCUCACUUCAUAGAUUGUAGUGAGAUUAAAUAAGUUAAUAUAUGUAAAGCUUUAAUAAAGUACUUAGCAAAUAGUAUAUACAGUACUAUGCAAGUUUUAGCUAUAAAAUGACAAUAACAUUUCACAUAAAAAGGUUACUAUUAAUUGUUACUACCAUUUCCUAAUUAUUGAUUUAUGUAAUAAGCUAUGCCCCAAACCUACCAGGUUUAACUCUUGGUAUUCAGUGUGAACUGAAUUAUAUUCCCCUCAAAUUCAUUUAUUGAAACACUAAUGUGCUGGCAUUAGAAGGCAAGGCAUUUGGGAGGUAAUUAGGUCAUGAAGGUAGAAUCCUCAUGAUGGGAUUAAUGCCCUUAUUAGAACAGACUGAAGAGAAAUUUUACUCUGCCAUGAGAGACACAUAAAAAAAAAAAAAAAAGAUGAAGUCUACAAGCCAGGAAGCAAGCUCCCACCAAGAACUGAAUCAGCCAGCACCUUGUUCUUGAAUUUCCCAGCCUCCAGAACUGUGAGAAAUAAAUAUUAGUAGUUCAAGUCACCCAGACGGUGAUAUUUUUUGAUAUUUUGUGACAGCAGCCCAUACAAACCAAGGCUAUCUUCAAGCAAACAAUUUAGAAGUUCACAAUUUUUUUUCUGUCAAAUAUGUGGUGUUCGCAAAUUGAAAGCAUCUUGGAUUUCAGGUUAGUAUCCCUAGUACAUAUUUUAAAACUUAUUUAGAGAUUCAAUUGACUUAUUUUAUUUGAGUCUAUGUCCACCUUUCUCCUGAGGCAGAGAAUGCCUCUGCCACAGGUCUCAAAAUCCUCUGGUUAACACAAAAAUUACAGAAAAUGCAAAAUUCCAGCCUAGGAAUUAAACACUCUCAUGUGUAAAUUUGUGUAAUGUAGAAGUUUAAUAGCAAAGAAAGAGAAAUUGUUAUACCUAUCAAUCAAGCAGGAGCUUCUCCUUAAAAUCUUUCAACAUGAAUCACAUGGCUUAGCAGGGGUAAAAUAUUUUAGGAGCCUCCUCCUAGAGGAUCUCACUCAAUCUUACUCCCUUGUAGAACAGGCGAUAUCUUCACCAUGCGCACAAUGAAAUCAAUACUCAGAGAAGGCAGAUAAUUCUCCACGAAGCCAGAAAACUAAUAAAUGAACAGUAAGUAACAACACAAUCAAAUACCCUCUUCAUAUAGAUCACUCAUUUUAGAAUUUUGAAAUUGAAUCAUGCACUGUGUAACUGUGCAGUGGAAUGCUUUCUUUUUGUUUUUUUUUCUUGAUUCUCAAUAUAAGAAGCUUAUAAAUUUGUCUUUUUAAUGGUUGGGAUCAUAUCUAAUAAAUUUAAUGGUUGGGAUCAUAUCUAAUGAAUUGGCUGUACUAAUGUGGAAGCUCUGUAGACUCAAUAAUGAUUGAUCUGUUUUCCUCCGCUCUAUGAACUGCUGCCCAGAGGGUGCUCAUGGCAUUAUCCACAUGCAUCCCUGUGCAUCUAAAUUCCUGAAGGAAUGUGUAUUCUAAGGCAAAAUUCAUAAUGGUAAUGUUGAAGAAAUAAAAAGUAGCAUAUAAAAACUCUGAGUAUAAUUAUUUAAAAAAUUUUAUUAGUUCAGGUCAAAAAUUUCAGGAAUAAGGUCAUAUUAAAACUUUGCAUGGAAAAAUUAACUUUAAUUUGUACUAAGCCUUAGAGUUAAGUUUUAAUAAUUUCUAUAAGGAAGAGCAGAACGAACCAAGAUGAAAGUAUCGUUUAUGUGCUAGCACGUUUUUGUUAUCCCAAAAUAAUUAGCAGAAGUAGAUAAAUUAGUUUAAGCUUUUACAGAUCACUGUUCUAACAUAAAGAUGUACACCUGACUCAUAUAGAAAUAAGGGAUUCACUUUGUUCAGCUUUCUGGCAAUGGGGGUUGGUGGGAGGCCCAAUUUACAUUGUGGAAGACGAGUAGCUUUAAAAAAGAAAAGUCAGGAAAUGUCCAAACUUAAUAGAUACUAUGGUAAUGAGUAUAAAGCACAGCAGAGGGAAGAUAAUAAUAAACGUGUAAUUGGCAUCUGUGAAGAGAACAUUAUGACAUUUUAUUACUGGAAAAUUGCAUACCAAAAUCUCUAGAAACAUUGGCCAUCACAUCUUUGAAAACCACAAGCAAGUAUAUUUCAUAUGUGAAUAAAUCCAUAUACUCAGAACCACAGUUUUAUGGUACUUAAGAUGGAUCUUUUGAUAUUGUAAUGAUGAAAUAGGUCUCUCGAGGAAAGAUGAAAAGGUAAAGCCAAGGCUUGUUUAAAAGAUCAAAAAGAGAGAUGCUGUGAAUGCUCUCAGCAAAUAUGAUGCUCUCUUUAUCUGGAUGCAUUCCUGUUCUAAAGAUAAAUGGAUAUUUCUCAAUAAAAAUAUAGAAUCUUAACAUUUUUGAAGUGUUGAGGAAAAACAAAGUGACAACAAAGUAAAGAUAUCUGAAGAUAACAACAGUUCCUUGAUUUCUUAAACAGUGCAAAGAAGUUAAAGUAGAAGGAAGUUAGGCCUUUGCACAUUUAAAUUUCAUCAGGGCAUCUUAUAAAACUUUGGCAAUUUUAUUAGAUCUUGGAUUCCUCACCUAAAAAUAUUAAUGUAUGUACUAAACUAACUUUAAGUUCUCUUCAUGCUCUUUAUUAUAAAAAUAUAGUACAUUAACUUGGAGUACAUCUUAGGGACAUCUUGAAAACCAUAUUUUAAAAAAUAAUCUCUAAUGGAGAAAGAAAGGUGUCUCUCUCUGACAAUACAGGUGAAAUUUGUAAGCUACUUUAGGCAAGUUCCUUCCUCACUUUUCCAAAGGAAUGCAUUUUGAUUUUACAAAAUGCUGUAUAAUCUUAAAAUAUUUUCAUAGAUAUUUCCUAUAUGAAUAGAAUAUUUUUUCCAAUAAAAAUGUGAAGGAAAUGGUGAACCACAGCUAUCAAUUUCUCUCUGAAUACUAUCUUUUAAUUAUACCUUGCUUUCAGCUCCUCCUUAGUAAGACAGAUGUGAACUUAUUAAGCUGGAAACUGAUCCCGAAGUAUAAACUAAUGUUUUGAUGCAGUUAAAGGUUGUAGAUAAUUCUCAGCUGGGGGGAAAUAAGACUGAACCUCCCCCAACCUCCCAGAAGUUACAGUAUUUUACAACUCAACUAAGUCACCAAUCAUAGCAGGUGCCUUAAAUGAUUGAAUAAAUUAGCUCCGUUUACUUUCUCCUAGUAAAUCAAUUCAAAACAGCUUGAUUUUGUACUGUUAGAAAAGUUGAUGUGUCUGGGGCCGGGCGCGGUGGCUCACGCCUG